AUAACAUUUUUCGAAAGAAAAAAUCUGUACUAAUCAGUUUAAUAUCUGAUAUGUCCCCUAUCCAGGGACCAUAUAUUAAAUAGCUUUUUGGAACAGGGAGAUGGAACAAGGGCUUGCUCUGUCCACUCUACGCAUCAGCCUAAUAUUGCAGCACUUCUAGGAUUGGUGCACUUCAU
rnacentral:snRNA from 1 species